CAAGAUUCCACACUUUCUUCAGCCUUUGACUUCAGCAAGUGCACUGGGAGAGAGAAGUAGAGAGAGGCACACUCCUUAGCUAGUAAGCUGCUACCGUGAGGCAUGGGUUACCAAGUACUGAAGCGGGCCGAGGCGAAACAAAAUGCAACA